rnacentral:lncRNA from 1 species
GAGAGAGCGGAGACCACGAAAUGGUUUAGAAAGUGCAAGAUGUCGUCCAAGGACAGCUCAGUCUCUUCACAUUUGGCAUCAUGCUUUUUCAGAAUGGGACUUCUUCCAGGGAGCUACCACAAGGACCUGCUGCCACCAGUCGUCACUCUCUGAAUAACAGACACAUGCAUGUGAGCCUAGAGAAGAACCUUCCCAGAGGAUGCACAGCCCAGGCGUCAGUGACGCAAGACUACAAAUGCAGAGUGUGCUGCUCUCUCGCUUUCCUUCUAUAUAUUGAGGAAAGUCUCCAGGACCUCACUCGGAUGGUGGAACACCUUGGCUUGGUCGGACUGUGAACACUGUGCUCACCAGCCCCAGGGCUGUCAGAGAACAGCUGUUCCAGGUGAGAAGGGAACAUUCUAGACAGUUUUCCCACUGUCCCCAGGACCCCUAACAUUGAGCUCAGGGAUUUGCACGUCUUUUGGUGUCGUAGGAGUCCUGUGGACAUUGGUCCAGCUCUCUUAUCUCCCCUGCUUUCCAUGUGGAAGAUGAAAAAUGGAGAAUUCCCUUGGAGAAAAUUCAAAGAAGCGUGCCACAUGCAUGGUCCCCAGUUAGGCCCAUUCCAGAAUGGGAAGAGCAGUUCGUGGGGUGAGGGGUGUGGUUUGCUAGAUUCAAACCAUGCAGAGGUGCCUGGGCCCUGGGGGAGAUCCGGGGAGGCUGGGCCUUGGACAAAAACACAGCAGCAGGUCUGACAGAGCCUGAAGGAGACGGAGAGAACAAAUGCCAGCCCAAGAGGACACCCACGGCUUCUGGAGAUGGUGUCCUGUGGCCUUGCCCCUGGGGAGAGUACCUGCUUAGGGAUGCCAUCCCAGGGUUACACACAGCCACGGCUGCUCCAGCGCAACAAAGAGGGGGCCAGUUUUUUAGUGGCCUCGGUUGAGAGGUGAAUUGCCUCUAUUUAUGAACAAAUUUCCAGACUGGGACGAGGCUGCCUUGCGCAAUGGGGAGACCCCUGGGCUGUGUGUGUGUGUCUGUGUGUUGGGGGGUCUGGGACCAGCAAGCCUGCCCCACCCUAAGGAUCCUCACUGGGGACCCCUGUGACGCUGUGGGCAGAGGAACAAACAUAAGCCGCUCUUCCUAAGGCGUUCACUGUCCUGGGGCACAGGGCCUGGCCCCUCUGCAAGGCAAUCAGCCCCCAGAUUGUCUGGGCUCAUAUUCAGAUGUCCCAAGCAUCAGAAAACUCAGGGUAGGAGGUGGCACCAGUCUUCAGCUAGGGGCAGCCAAAGAGCCUGACUUCAAGUUAAUCCAAUCUCCGUGCAGCCUCAAGUAACAGCCUUGGACGCUAAGGAUUAUUUGGUGUCAUCACGGUAACAGUAAUAGCAGGGAAGGCCAGGGCAUCCCCGAGAAGGAGGUGGGCACUUGGCUCACACUGGCUCACCAAAUGCAACAGCCCUUGGUUAUCAGGCUCUGUGCCAUAGGAGGACGAAGACGGUUAGGAGGGGCAUCUUGGAGCUGCGCCUGAUCACUCUGGGUGGCCCUUGUCUCCCCUGCUCCCACACACUGAGCUCUCCCUGGGGUCGGGGGCAGGGAGGCAGAGUGGGGAGGGUGUUGCCCAGGUCUGGUUCGGUCCUGCUAGGGAAAAAGCAGUGGUGGCAGUGGCAGCCCCUGGGAAGGGCAUCAGGCAGAGGCAGGUGGGCCGCGGGGUCCCCGGGGCCUCUCCUCCUGCUGUGUGGUCAAGAAGCUGUGGGAAACGUGCUCAGCCUCACAGCAAUCGUUAGUACCCUGUGGCCAGGGAGGGGUCAG